GUCAACUACCCCGCCCUGAAGGGCGGAGCUUGUGAGAGCAAGCUGGGUUGACCAGCCUCAGCCCGCCUGACCAGGACGGUCGAAAGGGGCUACGUAUGCAACAGGUCGCUAAGACUCACCGGCGGAUGCUUCCUCAGUCCGCCGCUCUGAA
rnacentral:sRNA from 21 species